rnacentral:rRNA from 1 species
UUUAUGGAGAGUUUGAUCCUGGCUCAGAGUGAACGCUGGCGGCGUGCCUAAUACAUGCAAGUCGAACGAUGAAGCUUCUAGCUUGCUAGAAGUGGAUUAGUGGCGCACGGGUGAGUAACGCAUAGGUCAUGUGCCUCUUAGUUUGGGAUAGCCAUUGGAAACGAUGAUUAAUACCAGAUACUCCCUACGGGGGAAAGAUUUAUCGCUAAGAGAUCAGCCUAUGUCCUAUCAGCUUGUUGGUAAGGUAAUGGCUUACCAAGGCUAUGACGGGUAUCCGGCCUGAGAGGGUGAACGGACACACUGGAACUGAGACACGGUCCAGACUCCUACGGGAGGCAGCAGUAGGGAAUAUUGCUCAAUGGGGGAAACCCUGAAGCAGCAACGCCGCGUGGAGGAUGAAGGUUUUAGGAUUGUAAACUCCUUUUGUUAGAGAAGAUAAUGACGGUAUCUAACGAAUAAGCACCGGCUAACUCCGUGCCAGCAGCCGCGGUAAUACGGAGGGUGCAAGCGUUACUCGGAAUCACUGGGCGUAAAGAGCGCGUAGGCGGGAUAGUCAGUCAGGUGUGAAAUCCUAUGGCUUAACCAUAGAACUGCAUUUGAAACUACUAUUCUAGAGUGUGGGAGAGGUAGGUGGAAUUCUUGGUGUAGGGGUAAAAUCCGUAGAGAUCAAGAGGAAUACUCAUUGCGAAGGCGACCUGCUGGAACAUUACUGACGCUGAUUGCGCGAAAGCGUGGGGAGCAAACAGGAUUAGAUACCCUGGUAGUCCACGCCCUAAACGAUGGAUGCUAGUUGUUGGAGGGCUUAGUCUCUCCAGUAAUGCAGCUAACGCAUUAAGCAUCCCGCCUGGGGAGUACGGUCGCAAGAUUAAAACUCAAAGGAAUAGACGGGGACCCGCACAAGCGGUGGAGCAUGUGGUUUAAUUCGAAGAUACACGAAGAACCUUACCUAGGCUUGACAUUGAGAGAAUCCGCUAGAAAUAGUGGAGUGUCUGGCUUGCUAGACCUUGAAAACAGGUGCUGCACGGCUGUCGUCAGCUCGUGUCGUGAGAUGUUGGGUUAAGUCCCGCAACGAGCGCAACCCCCUUUCUUAGUUGCUAACAGGUCAUGCUGAGAACUCUAAGGAUACUGCCUCCGUAAGGAGGAGGAAGGUGGGGACGACGUCAAGUCAUCAUGGCCCUUACGCCUAGGGCUACACACGUGCUACAAUGGGGUGUACAAAGAGAAGCAAUACUGCGAAGUGGAGCCAAUCUUCAAAACGCCUCUCAGUUCGGAUUGUAGGCUGCAACUCGCCUGCAUGAAGCUGGAAUCGCUAGUAAUCGCAAAUCAGCCAUGUUGCGGUGAAUACGUUCCCGGGUCUUGUACUCACCGCCCGUCACACCAUGGGAGUUGUGUUUGCCUUAAGUCAGGAUGCUAAAUUAGCUACUGCCCACGGCACACACAGCGACUGGGGUGAAGUCGUAACAAGGUAACCGUAGGUGAACCUGCGGUUGGAUCACCUCCUUUCUAGA